CCCGCGGCAAGUCAGUUGGCCAAGCAAAAUUGCCCUCCACAAAUUCAUGGUGACCGAUUAAUCAGACGGUCUCAGAAGUUGGUAAAAGUUGAAGAGAAUAGUUCACGGAGCUCGUCAAUGACUGCAACCCAAGCUACCAAAAGGCUAAAGCUCGAGGCUGGUUAUUCAUGCAAGGCUGCUCGUUUGAAGCAUCAAGCUGGUUUUUUACACAAGGCACCUAAAAAGG
rnacentral:misc_RNA from 1 species